UAAAUACUCCCUCCGUUCGAAAAUACUUCUCAUCAAAAUGGAUAAAAAGAGAUGUAUCUAAAACUAAAAUACGUCUAGAUACAUUUCCUUUUAUCCAUUUUGAUUACAAGUAUUUCCGGACGGAGGGAGUAUUUG
rfam:Triticum aestivum genome assembly, contig: Triticum_aestivum_CS42_TGACv1_scaffold_228434_3B